GAGAUACAGUAUAUGACAUAUGUGUCAGUAUCUCUCUCUCUCUCUCUGUGCGUGUGUGUGUGUGUGUGUGUGUGUGUGUGUAUCUGUCUGUCUGUCUGUCUGCAUCUGUGUGUGUACAUGCGUGUGUGUGUGUGUAAGAGUUGAGGUGCUGUGUCCGUGGGUGUUCUCCACCCUGCCUCCGGUGUCCUCGUGUCCUUGCGCUGAGAGCUGAUGAGUCAGUGGAGGUGCGAGGGGGUCAGUCAGCACCGGCGCCCCUCCCAUGCUCAGGAGACUAGUGGGUGACUGGAGAGAGGGAGAGAGAGAGAUCGAGAGAUCGUUCUUCACCUCAACAGAAGAAGUGGAGAGGGAGAGGAGGAGAGGAGCAGGAGAGGCUCAAGGAUCCGGUCUCUGAGUGGGGCAGGACAACAGCUGCUGUUUCUAUACCAGUCACAACAUGAAGACCACUAAGGGACAAGUACAAGACCAUCCGAAACAAGUGUCCAUUUACAGACGGUCUGUCCUUUCAUCCUGUGAG